rnacentral:lncRNA from 15 species
UUUGAAUUAUGCUAGAUCUAUUUUAUUUUGUUAAGGAGAAAGGGAUGCCUUGAUUGUCGUAUUGAUUUUCUUCUUCUUUUUGUUCCAAAAGAUUGAAACUGAAGAGCUGGAAGGAGGACAUUACAACAUCUCUUAUAUUUGCAAGAUGAAGCAGAAAGUCCCAUGCAGGAUGAUGCCUCUCUACAGUGGAUGAUGAAGGCAUUCUGGUUUGCAAACUCAGGAGAGGAACAAAGAACAGAUGUUGACGGGAUCAUAUCUAGAGAUGCGGGCCUACUACACUUCAUACGAGCAAGUGUGCUAAUAUACAUGAAGACUUGGGUUAUAUUUUUUUCUGAAAACUAGGCUACAACUUUAGUGAUGGAUGCAGAAGAUAUCUACACGAGACUACGUCUUAAAGAUGCCACCCUCAUAUAAUGAAAAAGGACAAUAGAGAUGGGUUUAAACUGGAAUAUUUACAUGAUAUUUAUUUGUUAUUUGUAUUAU